CUCUUUAUCCAUGCCAAAUUGAAAACACGAACACUCAUAUUUUGAGAUUUAUCGUCUAAAACAAACACGACUCGGGAGAUUUACGUAUCGGCGCCCUCCCACGUAACACAUCACUGUGCUAAACAAAACAACGGGUUAAAUGUAAUUUGCGAGCCGCCGCUGCAUCGAAACGCUCGGGCAGAAAUUUCGUUGUUUCCGUAUUUUCUUUUUUAGGCUUCCGUAGUUUUUUUAAAUUUAUAGUUUCCUCCUCUUAAAAACGUACAAUACAUGACUGGAAGAUGACGCCUUUAGAAGAACUGACCGACUCUUUCCACAGAGGGGCGAACAAAGUCUUCGAGCUUGCCCAGUUGCUGCAAAUAUCUCUCGACAAAAUUCAGUCAAUCAUAUCCAAAGUCACCGAUCCUCAAGCUAAAGUGAAAUUAUAUGAUGACGAAUGCGACAUUAUCCAAGCCCAAUUAAGCUCGUAUGAUGAGUCUUUUGCAGCGGCUAAAAACUUUAUUACCACCUACACAAAGAAGCUUGACACUGUUUUGUCAGUGCUGUCACCUACGAUCAGGUGGCUGCCUGAGAAGCAAACCAUGAUGGAAAUGACCUACCAAGAAGGUAGUUCGCCCUGGUCUUUUACUUUGAUUCACACCGGUGUAAAUAAAACCUCGAUAUCUUCUUUAUUAGAGGAACAUUUUACAAAAGGAAUGUUGCAAUCAUUGCCGAACCUUUGUGCAGGCGAUUUUGUCUGCUGUUUCGAAAGAAAAAUGUUGUACAGGGCUGUCGUUCUUGGUUUAAUGCCAAAUGAUAGGGUUAAAGUUUUAAAUGUAGACAAUAAUCAUAAAAAAAUUGUUCGGAAGGAGAAUAUCUAUGAUCUCACUGUAGACCUGUUGGAUAUACCUGCACAAUGUAUGCACUGCUGCCUUAUGACACUGGAUGCCAAUGAACAAAAAUUGUGGUCAGAAGAAUUAAAUCAUAUAUUUAAAGCAACCCUAUCUGAGUGCAAACUAUCAGUGAAUGUGAUAGACCGGAUCGAGUCACUUCCACCAAAGUUCAUCGUUGAAGUGUACGGUUUCAACGAAGCACUGGAAUCAGAGGCGAAUCUGAGCGAAUGGAUCUGCCACCGUGUUUUACCCGAGGUGAAGCAGAUAGCCGAGAAAAGCGACACAGAUGAUGUCGUUAGCAUGAUGAGAGAAGAUGCCCUCGACCCGUUCUACGGGAGCACUUCUGAGGAGUCAGACCACAUUUUGUUGAAGGCAGUCUCCGAAGUGUCCCACCAUCAGUCAAAAGGCGAACAGACAGAGGGAGAAAGUACGAUCCAGAAAGGCUCAGCCGACUCAUCCAAAGAAAACCCAGAAAAGGAAAAAUGGUACAAGGACGAAUCACUUGAUCUCAGCGAGAGGUAUCCGCUUUACUUUGAUAGAGAUAUCCAUCAAAAAGGAGAACCAAAUUUUGUGACAAAUCCUCUAAAUCCAAUUGUGGAAUUUAAUCCGAAAAACAUCGAACUACAACACGUAAAAUCCAAACAUGCAGAUAGAUUGAAUGGGCAUUUGUUGCCGAUGGCGUGAACUUCAGACGUCUAGGAUAGCUAAACCCACACAAAACAUGACAGGACAUCUUGUAGACCGACCCGACGUUCACAGUGUUUCAUCUAAUAAUUUUGAAGGAAAGGCUUCCGUAAGCAUUACUCAUCCGGAAAACAGUGAUAUCAACAGCAUAGACACUUUAAAGGAAUAUCAGAGUCCGGAUGAAACAAAUGUAGG
rnacentral:misc_RNA from 1 species